rnacentral:rRNA from 1 species
AGUGAACGCUGGCGGUAGGCCUAACACAUGCAAGUCGAACGGCAGCACAGUAAGAGCUUGCUCUUACGGUUGGCGAGUGGCGGACGGGUGAGGAAUACAUCGGAAUCUACUUUUUCUUGGGUGAUAACGUAGGGAAACUUACGCUAAUACCGCAUACGACCUACGGGUGAAAGCAGGGGAUCUUCGGACCUUGCGCGAUUGAAUGAGCCGAUGUCGGAUUAGCUAGUUGGCGGGGUAAAGGCCCACCAAGGCGACGAUCCGUAGCUGGUCUGAGAGGAUGAUCAGCCACACUGGAACUGAGACACGGUCCAGACUCCUACGGGAGGCAGCAGUGGGGAAUAUUGGACAAUGGGCGCAAGCCUGAUCCAGCCAUACCGCGUGAGUGAAGAAGGCCUUCGGGUUGUAAAGCCCUUUUGUUGGGAAAGAAAAGCAGCAGGUUAAUACCCCGCUGUUCUGACGGUACCCAAAGAAUAAGCACCGGCUAACUUCGUG